CGGCGAGGUGGUGCGGCGGCGCGUGGCUGCGAGCGGCGGCGGCAGUACCCCCAUCCUCCUCCCCCUUCUUUCUCCCCUCCUCUCCCUUCUCUUAUUUCUCAAUCCGGUUUUUCUUGAAGUGGCAGCGGCGUGGAGUUCUCAACGGCGCGCGGCGGUGCUGCGGUGCGGCGGCUCGACGCAGCGGUGAGGAGGCGAGGAGGAGGUGAACGGCGGCGCCGCGGCCUCCAUCCCCGACCGCCGGGGGCCACCUCCAUCCCCCAACUGACGGGUGCCACCUCCGACCGCCUGGCGCUAGAUCCAUCCUCCACAAGGUCAGGGGACGCGGAUCCGGCCACCGGGGCGUCGUCUCCUCCGUCCGCCGGCUGCGUCCCCAACUGACGAGUGCAGAACUGCAGAUUCCCCCGUCGGCUGCUUCCGGGUGCAGAAGGCGAAGAGGGCGGCGUCGAGGAGCAGUAAUAGGGACGAGGUCAUCCGCAAGGAGGAGGAGCAAGGUCGCCUCCAGGCCGAGCUCAAGAAGGUCUAGCGCGCCAAGGAGUUCAAGCCCACCGUGGUAUGAAGAAGCCCUGCCCGGCAAAACCCACAACCAUUUAUUCCCUUCGUUUUUGUUGCUCGUCAGGUGAUUGACGAAUUGCUUGCUUGCCAUGGCUGUUUUAUGUGUGAUGAAAUGUUCGUGAAGACUUUUCUGUGUGAUGAAAUGUUGUGUGUGAUGAAUGCGAUGGCAACUACCCAGAAGCACUUUUUUUUUGUUUUUUUUUAUCAAAAUCUACAUCAGUGACGGGUGUUGAGCUGUGGUUGUGGCUCUUUUUUCCUUUUUUUUUGGGUGAUUUUUCUCAUCUGUGACGGGUCACAUGAUACAACCCGUCAAAGGUGUCUGUCACCUCUGACGGAGCUACACCCGUCAAAGGUGAGUUAAGUCAUCAGUGACCAUUGAUCUGUGACGAGGGGGUCUAUCCGUCACAGAAGAGGGUUUGAGCCCGUCACUGCUAGCUUGUUCUGCUGUAGUGACAACUUCUGCUUGAAAUGUUUCCAUAGGUUGAUUCAAAAUGGUAAAAGAACUUUCCAUCAAUUGCUGAGCACCUACUGCACUAAAAGUGGCACAAGAACUAAGAAUUGGCUGAGCACUAGUCCAAGCUAUCCGUAUGGCCAAGGCUACAAACAGUGCUAGCUCAGCUGGUGAAACAUCAGUUUAUCAUUAGAAACAAAACAAAGAUUAGCCUAAUAAAACAUUCUCUACUGAAAGGGAUAAGAGGGCUGGAAUGGCAAUGCUUCCAAUAGACAAAUAUUUGUGACUAUUGCACCUAAUCAUUUUCGUCUAAUUCUCUCAAAGUCCAUGACCCAAAAGGAACGUCGGUGUUCGAGUAGGGAACCAUUGGGUAGAAUGUAGAUAGCAGGGUGACUAUUUUCCUCAUAACACUAGGACUGUCAUCCAAUCUACAGAUGCAUGGUGCUCAACCUUAUAAUACAAUGCAGAAAGUGGGGUGCCCAUUUUCCUCAUGUUGCCAGGACUGUGGACAGAUCUACGCAUGAUUCUCAAUCAGUUUCCCUAUCAAGAGGUUAUUUGGAUGAUUAAUAUCAUGUAGAGUGGUUCCUAUAUACUGGAAGGUUUAGUACAUGCCUGACAUUUUGUUCCUGUGGUCAGUAACCUUAUAAGAUAUAAACAUUUUAAGAAGAUAGAUACGAAGAGGAUAUACCUGUAGAGGGAAAAAAAUGUGUGAAAAAAUGAUCAUGUGUGUACCACACAAAUAGAUAUUAACAUUUCUAUCUUUUCAAAUAAAAAAGAUAUUUUGCUUGGUGAUGUCCCACAAAACACUUCUUUAAAAUAAAAACGUUGGGACCGCCGUUCAAUCUACACAUGCAUGGUGCUCAAUUAGUAACCCUAUAAUACAAUGCAGAAAGUGGGGUGCCCAUUUUCCUCAUAUUGCUAGGACUGUGGACAAAACUACAGAUGAUUCUCAAUCAGUUGCCCUGUCAAGAGGUUAUAUGGAUGAUUAAGACCAUGUAGAGUGGUUCCUAUAUAUAUAUGGAAGUUUUGGUACAUACCUAACAUUUUGUUUCUGUGGUUAGUAACCUUAUAAUAUAUAAACAUCAUAAGCAAAUAGAUAUGAAGAGGAUAUAUGUGUAGAAGGAAAAAAUUGUGUGAAAAAAUGAUUAUGUGUGUACCACACAAAUAGAUAUUAACAUUUCUAUAUUUUUAAAUAGAAAAGAUAUUUUGCUUGGUGAUGUCCCACAACAAAACAUUUCUUUAAAAUAAAAACGUAAUGAACAAAAAAAUCAUCUUAACUAAUUUUGCAUAGCUCAUCAGAAACAAAAUAAAUAAGGGUUAAUUGCAUACAUGACAUUAUAAAUUUUAUGGUUUGCUAAUAUGCCAUUAUUAUUCAUAUAUUUGGUACCAUGUCAUUUCAAUUUCACAAAUAUUAGAGAUAUGCCACUACAUACCACUUCACAGUAUUAUCUACUUUCUCCGUUUCAUAUUAUAAGACUUUCUAGCAUUGCCCACAUUCAUAUUUGUGUUAAUAAAUCUAGACAUAUAUGUGCUAGAUUCAUUAACAUCUAUAUAAAUGUGGGUAAUGCUAGAGCAGUGGUGGAGGACUCGCCAUACCUCGCCGCCCGCUCGUACCAACACCCUCUACCUCCAACUCCGGCAAGCCGCUGACGGCAGUCAGGUGCAGAGGCGAGGUGCGGCGUCAGGCGAUGGGCGAAGACAGGGCACUCGCUGCUGGGCCACUCUCCACUCAAUCGUAGGCCCAUUGGGCUCGUUUCGUGUUAAUGUGGGCAUAUGUGGAUGAUUCACUAGACUUAACCCUAGCUCAGAAAUUCCCCAUCUCCGCCGCCGCGGCGGACGAUGAGGCGACGACGGCGCGGCCGUUUGGAACUGCGGGAGGCAUCCGCAUCCAGCUCCCCGCAUGAGAUCAACAAGCGGCGACUGGGCGCCAGAGCUGGUGUGCGGUGGCGCGGCUACGCGGCUAGGACAGCAGACAGCAGGAGCGAUGUGGUAGGCGUAAGGCAAGCAGCAGCAGAUUCUAUGCAUAUCUAUCCUCUCCCUUGUUCCAGUGAUUAUUGCCAUGCUGAAUAUUGAUACAAUGUUGUGCCGUACAGUAUAGUGCGAUUAGCCGUCUACAAUCACUUGUGACAGCCGUUUGGUGGCGGCAGUGGGCCCGCAGUGCGCGACAGAGCGAGGCGGCCGAGGGCGUGCGCCGGCGCCCACUCCCAGGAUGGCAGUUGCCGCGUCGAGGGCGGUCGGGCGGCCGCGUCGAGGGCCGGCCGGCGCCCGCUCCUAGGAGGUCCACAACCGGCGGCCGCGACUCUUCUACGCAAAGCCCCGUGAGAUCUCCGGCCGCCGCCAUGGACGCCGUCGACUCAGUCGUCGACCCUCUACGCGAGUUCGCCAAGGACAGCGUCUGCCUUGUCAAGCGCUACCACAAGCCUGACCGCAAUUUCACCGCAAUUUCAGUUGAACACUUUGUAGUUUGAAGUUUAACUCAAUUUUAUUCCACAACCGUGUUAAGUCAAUUUUAUUUGACUGCUAUCGUUUACUCAGUCUUUGGUAGUUUUUCUUAACUGCAGAAGUUUGUCACUUUGUCAGGUGCUCCAUCAAAUCCAAUAUUAACUGAUUUUUAUUUUACUGUUGAGAAAAUUUCAAUUGAAUAUACCUCUAUUCAAUCUAGUUCCAGAAUCUUCAUGGUUUGUUUGCUUUUGGACAUCUAUCUAUAUGUUGUGCACUUUUGUGCAUAUAUAGACUUAGUAAUAUGAUCUGGACUGUAAUAUGUGGUAAUUUA